rnacentral:ncRNA from 1 species
CAUUGUUAGUAUUUGUUGGGUUAGUAGAUUAUUUGAUUAAUUGUCUACUAACUUGCAUGUGAGGUGUUCUUAUGAGUUGCAGCGAGUAAGUGUGUUUGUUGAUCAGAACUUUAAGGGAUGAAAACCUUAAAGUGGAGGGAGUUCAAGGCCAAACCCAAACCCGAAGCGAAAGAGGAGAGAGAGAUUCAGAGAACUGGACAGUGGUAUGGACUGGACAGAUGGGAGGAAACAAAACUUCGUUGGGAAAGGACUUCAUCAUUAGUUGGGAAAACAAAGAUCGAGAAAAUGGUUGGAGUAAUCAAGAACGAGCAUGGACAAGAUCGUAUCAGGGCAAUGAGUGUGUUAUGUCAGAGUAAAAGAAAGAGGAUGACUCAGUGAUCAUUCAAGUCAAUAGAUAUGAAGACGAUUGUGGAGGCCUUGAAGAGGACACUCAAGGAACCGUGGUGGACAGAGUAUAGAGGUUAUGGAGACAAGUGGAGAAUGUUGUGAAGACGAGCAACGGCGCAACUAAGAAUUCGAUGAUGAAUUCUAUUAAGGGGGGGGGGGAGAAUGAAGACACCCGUUAAAAAAAAAAGGAGAGAGAAUGGUCGAGUAUCUUUGUGGUGGUCGAGUCGCGGGCGAUCGAGAAGUUUUGAAGUACGAAGUGGGCGAAGAAGUGAUCGUGAGUUAACUAUGAGUCAAAUAAGUUGCUCGACCAUAGUUAGAAGAUGUCUUAGAUUGAUGAGACUGACGUUUUCGAAGCAUAACAUUUUUGGAAGCACGACGGUCACCGCGCGACAGCCCACAGUCCUUCAGGUCACUGCCACAUUACGAGGGCAUGGACAUAGUCAGUGUUCCCUGGGGAUAGAUCAUUGCAAUUGUUGGUCUUCAACGAGGAAUUCCUAGUAAGCGCGAGUCAUCAGCUCGUGUUGACUAUGUCCAUGCCCUUUGUACACACCGCCCGUCGCUCCUACCGAUUGAAUGAUCCGGUGAAGUGUUCGGAUUGCAGCACGUCGCGAGAAGUCCACUAAACCUUAUCAAUUAGAGGAAGGAGAAGUCGUAACAAGGUUUUCGUAGGUGAACCUGCGGAAGGAUCAUUG